CGGCACGGGUGAGUAACACGUAUCCAACCUGCCGUCUACUCUUGGACAGCCUUCUGAAAGGAAGAUUAAUACAAGAUGGCAUCAUGAGUCCGCAUGUUCACAUGAUUAAAGGUAUUCCGGUAGACGAUGGGGAUGCGUUCCAUUAGAUAGUAGGCGGGGUAACGGCCCACCUAGUCUUCGAUGGAUAGGGGUUCUGAGAGGAAGGUCCCCCACAUUGGAACUGAGACACGGUCAA
rnacentral:rRNA from 1 species